ACGUCAGCCGAGACCGGCUGCCGGACGAGGGAGCCGUACCCGGAGGCGCGACAAGACGGCCGUC
rnacentral:ncRNA from 1 species